ensembl:lncRNA
GGAAGUCGAAUCUUCCACCAUCUUGGACCAAGCUGAUUCUAACAAGCUUUUGUCAUGUCCUACGGCCCUAUCAUUCUUUCAAAGGCUGUGCCCUGCCCCCUUCCAUCCCGUUUCAAAAGGACUCCCACAAUUGAGGUGCAACAAGUAAUUCCAGCCUUGAUGGAUUGUUAAGAAAAUAACAGGAAUGAAAAUUUUUACACCACCUGGCAUUUAGAAGUCCUUAAACAUACGAUAGCUUUCUUCCUUAGUUAUUCUGCAGCUGUCAUUCAGAGAGCACUUCCCAAUGAACUUGCUUCAAGCAAACCUUCUCAGAGUCAGCUUCCUGGGGAAUUGCCCUGCAACACUUCAGUGUGGGUUCUUUCUUAAAGCCCCAGCUCCCUGCCUCUUUCUUCCCCGCCUGCAAACUGAGGACCUGGAACACGCACAUUUGUCUCU